AGUAGCCCAUAGCACCACACUCAGAUGAGGAUUUAGAACUGAUGGGACCAGUUUUCUGUGUUCUAUUAAAAGAAAGAAGCCAAGAUUCAUCAUUUUUGGGGGGUAUAAACUUUAGCAGUGAGUUGAUGCCUGAGAAAGUGGAUAACAUGCCAGCCUCUGGUAUACAAGCUGUUUGGUAGCGGAGAAAAUUUAGUAAGGAACUGCUGAAACAAAUCACUAGUUUCAGUGUGGCAGUUCUUUGUGAUCACUGAAAAAGGAUACUAUUCCUCUGAGAAGGAUGUCAAAAGAUCGGCUCAGCUCAGGGUGCAGUUUGCACUAGCUCCUUGGACAGCUGUAAGAAGAGUCUCUGGCUCUUUAGAAUACUGGGUGAAGUCUGAUCCGGGUUUGUACUCGUUCUCAAGAAGAAGGACGGGCCAGCAUCAGGCGGGUUGAAAGCCUGCGCUAGACAGCAUCCCAAGGACAUUCUCAAGUGAGGACUGCAAACAGCUCUAUGAAUGUCCCACAUUUAGCAGAUCUUUCAUUUUGAAAAUCUGGAUAAUCGCCAGUUAAUCUAAGAGGAUGACUUGCAGUCCACCUGCAGAAAAAAGAUCUCUCUCAGAAGAAUAGGCUUGUUGCUUUACAGUGUUAGUGACCUAGUCCCUUUGACGGUCCCUUGGUGGAGAUGGGGCAUGAGGAUCCUCCAGGGGAAAAGCUCACUAUCACUGGGCAACAAUCCUAAUCCAGGAGAGGAGGUUCUACCAAGAUUCUUCCUGGGCCAGGAGAGCAUGCACAUUGCCACCUUUGUGUUACUGGUUCUUGGGCAGAUCAUCAAUCUGGAGCCUCUGGUCUGCAAAGUCUCCCUUGUGGUCCUUGUAGAACUUUGCCAGUCAUUUACUUACUUCAAGAUGCUUUGGGAUGUCCUUGGGAUAAAAUACAGCAAAUUGCUUGGGAAGACAGAUGCCUCUCUUUAAGCCAUGAUGGAAGCUUCACAACUAUGAUUGGGAACCUGACCAGGCACAAAGUUAUAUUGCACCAGGCAAGAGCUAAAGAAACAGGACCCGGCAUGCCCUAGCUCUUGAUUGUUUCCUUCAUACCUACCAAAUCAUUAAUCCUGCUCAAAGGCAGGGCAGAGAGUAUGAAAUUUGAACACACCAAAAGAAGAUCAACACGCAUGGCACACUGAUGCUUUAAAAUAGCAGCAUGAACUUGUCUCUUUUGCAUCUUAACCUCUUCUGCUGAAUGUCUGCCUCCGCUUGCUAUCACUUUCACUCCUAAGUGUGUACUUCUUUGUCCAAGUCUUCCUUGAAUGUCUUGGUCUUUCUUCUCUGUCUAAAGUGUGUCUUAACCCAUUUCUCUGGUUCUCUUGCUAGUUUUUUUCCAAGUGUAUCUUUGUCUUACUGUCUUUUUUGUUCCUAAGAGUGAUCUGUGCCUUGUCUUAAGUGUCUUUCUCGUUUUCUCUUUUUUCCCCAUUUUUUGCUCAUUCUCUUUGCUUUCCUGUAUCUGCCUCUUUCACUCUUCAUCCCUUUGUGUCUCUGUGUCUCAUGCUGUGUGCUUUUUGCUUUCUUGUUCUGCCUACUUCACUUUUUCUCUUUGUUGCUCUGCUUGUUUGUAACCCCUCCCUUUCUUGUUGGUGUGACGUUUCACUUUCUUCUGGUUCUGGUCUCUCUUCUGUUGUUUUUCUUCCAUAGCUAAUAUUUCUCCGGCAUUUCCUUUCUGCCUCUUGGCUAUCUUCUUUCCUUUAUUCCUGCUUUGUGUGCCUCGUGGCUAUCUUCUUUCCUUUAUUUCUACUUUGUGUGUCUCAGUGUCUCUGCUCAUUGUGAAUUUCCAUUCUAGUGGUCGUCUGUCUGUUUUCUUGGAUCUUCUCUUUCCCUUUCUGCUCACCUUUGAGUGUUUCAGCUACUUCAUGAAUUUGUGUCUCUCCUUCUUUGUUUCAUACAAGCCUCACUCCUUGCAUAUUUUUUGUGCCUCUGUGUGCGCUUUUGUGUGCUUGUCUGUAUUCUUUGUGACAAAGGGGCCCCUAACCCCGCCUCUAUAGGUGCAGAGUGCCGGCUACCAAAACAAGUGUUGUGUAACUGAUAUUGAUGCCAGACUGUCCUUCUUGCAAGAUGCCCCACGACCAAAAGAAGGCCCAAAGGUCUCAACUGAAAGAAGAGCUAAGAUAGUAGCAGACUGGCCCAAUAGAAGACAGAUGUCUUAAAACUAUAGACUUAAGACCUGAAAACUGAAGUGGAAAGAUACAUGUCCCAAGAUAGAUGGAAAGCUCAGCUGUGAAGCCUUCCAAAAAAGAACCAAAAUGUACAGAAGUUGCUGCUUGUUGGACAGAUGACUUGAGUUGGAUGCAAACUGUCUUGAUUCAGAAGGCUCACAACUCUGAGGCUGAAGGCCUAAAACUGCAGACCCAUGGAAUGUUUGAAACUUAAGAUGUAUGCUUAAGACCUGACAUUAAACAGCUUUAGCUCGGAGAUCUGAGACCCUAGGACGGAAUGCCCGAGACACACACAGAAGGCUUUAAUUCAGCAUCUCUAGAUGAACAGAGGCUCAUGAGGUGGGAAAGCCCAUGACCUGGAAUAUAGGAAGAAUAAAAUCUCAAACCAGAAGAAAUCCCAAGAUCAGAACACUAAACUUCAGCUCUUUUCUGUUGCUGUACUGUUUGCUCUUGGUAGUUUUCUCAUUUUCCAGUUCUCAUAUUUCCAGCCCCCUAUUUUUGAUAUCUUUAGAUUUCUCACUAUGAUUCCUGGACCAUCUUAAACAUUUUUUACCGCAGUUCUGAGCCACUUAUCCACUUUUAAGUGUUCUUUAAACUUGCUUUCUCUUCAUCUCCAUUCUGUCUAAGAGAGGCAUGGGUGCCAUAUUUCAGUCCUCCCCUUUCCUCAAAAGUUCUAGGCUGAUGAUCAGAGGAAUGGCACCAGGUUGCUGGGGGGCAAAAAUACCAUGCUCUCUAGAAAAAACUUGAAGAGAUGUUCCAGGUCAGUUGGAAGAAUCAGAUAAGAAAUACACAGAUGUGCCAGCCUGCUGAGAGGUACCAACUACCACCUUACUUCUUUGAGCUUAGUUUCUGGCAUCUUAAGACUACCACUACUGAUAAAACAAGAAUAAGAGAACUUACUAUCAUCUGAUUUUGUGGCAUAAAUGAAGUUGUGAACAAAUCCGAUAUUAAAGGAAAGCUCUUCAUCGCUACCCUUCUACCUCAAAGAGAAUCUUAAACCAAAGUGCUUCGGUAAAUGAAAGACAUAUUUUGACUUAUGAACUGAUGGAAAAUGCAGACUCUGACCCUUCAGUGGUUUGAAGAUUGACCAGUCUUGCUCAGUAUUGGGACCUCCAAAGAGUAGUUUAAAGCCAUCUGCAUGUGACAACUAAGAAAAUGGGAGAGUUUGUUUUCCAAUGUUAAA